rnacentral:rRNA from 1 species
UACGUAGGUGGCAAGCGUUGUCCGGAUUUACUGGGCGUAAAGAGCGCGCAGGCGGUCGGAUAAGUCGAAUGUGAAAGCCCCCGGCUCAACUGGGGAGGGUCAUUCGAUACUGUUCGACUCGAAGGCAGGAGAGGGAAGUGGAAUUCCCGGUGUAGUGGUGAAAUGCGUAGAUAUCGGGAGGAACACCAGUGGCGAAGGCGACUUCCUGGCCUGUUCUUGACGCUGAGGCGCGAAAGCUAGGGGAGCACACGGG